UUAAGCUGCUUUAAUGGUUCAAGGGCUUGACUGCUUGUUUUGCGAUAUACUACUCGUUAACGAGUACCAGAAUUCAUUUCCAGCCAGGACAUUGGAGUCACUCACUACCUGAACCGAGUUUGUUUACCGGUAUCUCACGUAGCUAGCAACAUUAGCUAAAGUUAAGAUAGCAAAACCGCAACAUUUCACAGAUGACAGAGACCUCAGUGGACCCACACAAGAGCUCAGGAACAGCGGAGAGCAGGGACUUCUCUCAUCACCUGGAAAGAAACUAGCUGACCAGAACCCAUAAGAAACAGCUAUAAAAGAGGUAUGCCUAUAAUUAGACACAUGUUAAGUGUAAGAUCCAUGAUCAGGUAGAGACACUUCAAACUAAUAUUUUCUACAACCUAUCCACAUCUGGCUGCACCCUUAGCAUUAAUACAAUUCCUGUAGGAACUGACAUCCUGACAUGUUACUUCUGACAGCUAAUAACUUACUCCUGUUACAUCUGACUCAUUGUGGUAGAUUCAUCCUUGUCUCUGUAAUAGAUGCCAGCCAGCAGAUAUCUGUAUUCAACCUUAGCAAACCGUGGCAGUUAAAUUGUAGGUAUGAUGUGAUCAUUACAAAAAUAGUAUUCUGUGUGUGUGUGUGUGUGUGUGUGUGUGUGUGUGUGUGUGUGUGUGUGUGUGUGUGUGUGUGUGAGUGAGAGAGAGUUUCCAGCUGUUCAUGCUACAGUGGCUGUGCUGUGGAUACUGUGCCAGGUGUCAACAUGCAUGGACCAGACCACAAAUACCAGCUGUUCAUGCUACAGUGGCUGUGCUGUGGAUACUGUGCCAGGUGUCAACAUGCAUGGACCAGACCACUAAUACCAGGUGUUAAUGCCACAGUAGCUGAUACAGAUGCUAUGCCAAAUGCCAGCAUGGAUCUGCCGGAUCACUAACCGCAUGUAGGUGUCUACAUCAGAUUGGGGAGUUGGACACUGUGUAUGCAUGAUGUACAUCAGAAGGCUUUCCAGGCAGGCUGACCUGACCAAUUGUCGGCAUCUCUCUGCAUUCUUUGGAGCCCUUCUUCCUGGAGAAGACCACAAAGCUACUUGCAUUAACAUAAAUAAAUGUUUACUUUCAUUGUUGAAA